CCCCCUGGCAAUGAGCAAAGAGACACCUUGUUUGUAGUGGUGUUCUUACAUCAGUCCGGGAAGCAGAGCAGAUGGCAGUCCUAUGUUCACUCUAGCUUGAUGCCUGGCUUGGUAGCCAGAGCUGUUUUAUGCCCAGGACUCAUAA